CCCAAACUAAUACAACUAAUAAAGAAAAAACCGGCAACCCAAUUCUGCCCCAAACCCAUCCCAUCUACUCUUAUUACAUGCAGAUAAAUGUAAGAGAUCCGUUUCCAUUAAUCUAGCCUUACCUCUCUAAUCCCUUCCCACCUGAAAAUAUGUUGCCACCGCUACUCAAUAACAAAAUGGUUCUUCUUUUUCUUUGGGUUAUAAAUGGUGUUCCCUUAUGUUCAUCUCAGAUUCUACAUCAGUUUUCAAGAGUAAGAGAUCUUCUUUUAUUAAUCUUUUUCUUCAUCCUUUAUGUUUUUCCUAAUCAUUUCUUGUCUCAGUUGUGCGCUCUGGUAGAUGAAAGUGGAAAUGGAUUUCAUUGUGAACUGAGGGUGCUCCAUCGGGAUGCUGGCUCCUCAUAGCAUUGGAUCUUCUCUCAGGUUUUCUGCUUCUGAUUCGGCCCACUCCCCUCCAUUUUGUCAAGACCAUUUUGAAGGCUGUAAUAGCCUAGGCUAGAUAGCUUUUUCACAUCUUCUUUUUCCUUUUUUCUUGUGUAAUUAUGUAGCUUGUGAAAAACUGAAGCAUCUGCCUUAUCUGCCCCUUGAUCAUCCCUUAGCUGAUGAAACUCUUAAAUAUGGGCUCUGUAGUUUGUCGCUGUUAAUGAUCUUUCUUCCUUGUGAUUCCAUGUAGUUGAAGCUUGCAUAUGAACAAUCUCCUGAAUUUAUUGCAUGAUUAGCUAAGUAAUCCGUCAAUUUAUUCCCUUCCUUGUAUAUGUGCUGAAUGAUUGUAUGUAUCCCUUGAAUGUUAUGCUUUAUCUCCUCC
rnacentral:lncRNA from 1 species